GACGAACGCUGGCGGCGUGCUUAACACAUGCAAGUCGAACGGAAAGGCCCUGCUUUUGUGGGGUGCUCGAGUGGCGAACGGGUGAGUAACACGUGAGUAACCUGCCCUUGACUUUGGGAUAACUUCAGGAAACUGGGGCUAAUACCGGAUAGGAGCUCCUGCUGCAUGGUGGGGGUUGGAAAGUUUCGGCGGUUGGGGAUGGACUCGCGGCUUAUCAGCUUGUUGGUGGGGUAGUGGCUUACCAAGGCUUUGACGGGUAGCCGGCCUGAGAGGGUGACCGGCCACAUUGGGACUGAGAUACGGCCCAGACUCCUACGGGAGGCAGAAGUGGGGAAUAUUGCACAGUGGGCGGAAGCCUGAUGCAGCAACGCCGCGUGCGGGAUGACGGCCUUCGGGUUGUAAACCGCUUUCGCCUGUGACGAAGCGUGAGUGACGGUAAUGGGUAAAGAAGCACCGGCUAACUACGUG
rnacentral:rRNA from 1 species